rnacentral:lncRNA from 10 species
GGCCCUACUGCUCACUGCACAGAAAGCCAAUCACUGAGAUGAUGAGUACUGCCAAGGAAGAAGGCUUUAACUUGGUGCUGCAGCCAAGGAGAUGGGAGCUCAGUCUCCAAUUCAUCUCCCUGACUGACUAACUAUGGGUUUAUAUAGCAGGGAAGAAAUGUAACCAUGCAUAAGAAAACAGGAACUAAGGAGGGGCAAGGAAGCCAUCAUCAUGAAUGAGAAGUCUGACAACUGGUGCUGUGAUCUGAAAUCAAACUUAAGAAGUAACACUUUUGGUGGAACCACAAACGGAAAAGAGUCUUGGGUCCUGAAUCAUGGUUUGGAGAAGACCUUUAUGCCUAUUAGGAGCCAAAAGCCUAAAACUCUAAACUUAAAACACAAGCAAUAGAAUGUUGAUUCUGUCCUGUCUGCAGUAUACAGGAUUAGCUUUUUCUGUUAAGAUAAAACUAGGAAAUAAAGUUGUGUGUGGAAGCAAUAAAAAUCUGAACUAUUCCUACAUGUAAUUCUAGAAAUUUAUAGGUGCUACAUUUUUUGAAAAUUUUAAUGACAUAUAUAAGAAGGAAAAUCAAAUUAAAAAUUCAAGUUGAUGUUAUCUUUAAAAAAAAGUAAUAGUUCAUCCUGUUCAUUCAUAAUCUAAAUUAGGUAAAAACCAGUGAUAAAAUAUUGUGUGUUAUUUUAAAAUAUAUGUAUAUCUACACAAACGAUAUUAUAUAUACAAAUACUCGUACUCAUGUACACACCCUAUCAUUAAUAAAGCAUCAUUGUUUAAUUUUAGGAAAAAAAUAACUACAAUUGGGAAUAAAAUUGAUUGCCCUAUUACAUCCAAAAGUCACCAUUCAUUGAUUAUUUUUUCACUUGUGAUUUAUUUUCCCUCAUGUUUCAUUUUCGGAACUUGUGUUUUCCCUUGAAAUACAAGAAUGCUUACUUUAUAAAAAUACACUGUGAUCCUAAUUCUUAGAUGUCAGUUAUUUUAGGUGGUUUAUAGCUCAACCUUUAAAGAGGUGCAGAAAUGCUAAGAGGAUUUGAGUUUUGAUCGUUGACAUUUUACCAAAUAGAAGUAGAAUUGGAGUGGAACCAAAUGGGGUUGGAGAUAGGAGCAGUACAAUUCAACAGCAGAGGUAUAGUGCAUCUAGGCCUGACUUCAUGUCAGCCCUUUCAUUAAGUAGACCUGUAAUGUCAGGUACACCACUUAACCUCUCUAAGCUUAAGUCUCCUCAUCUCUACACAGAGGGGAUAUUGCCAGUUGGGUUUCCUGGGAAGAUGACUUUGAGACGGAGAUCGGCAUCCAGCCUGUUAAUUAUGGAAUGUUCUUGGGAUCAACACCUAUGGGAGGGAGGGAACAGAAGCAGGAUUUGGCUGUGAUGCAGUCCUAAUGGAAUUAAAUAAAGUCCUUAGGAAAAUAAUUUUCUUCCUACUAAAGCAAUAAAAACUUGUUUGAUAUUAGGAUUUAUAAUGGCUUAUAAUGGAACUGUUGGCUUCACUCUGUUAGGGGCAAUACCUGUGCCAAGAAGAAUCUCUGAGUGGAAACUGUUGCUUUAAUUUAUAUUAUUGUAGCAACAUUAUUGUAAAAUUACCUUUUAAAUUGAGAAAAAAUUUUAAUUAAAAUUAAUCUUAUAAAAUGUAAAAGAAAAUAUUCAAUUGGCAUCUUGUCAAUCGAGAUUAUUUUAAAAUAGUAAUUAUUAUUGAAAAUGUAUUUUUCUGCAAAUGACCUCAACUUCUGUUACAAAUUAAAAUGAGCUUAUACCUACAUUUUACCAGACGCUUCAGUUUGUACUAUGAAAAACCAAAUUAUCUUUUCUCCACUGACA